GAGUUGGUGAGAUUUAGAGAUGUGGCCGUGGUCUUCUCACCAGAAGAGUGGGAUCAUCUGACUCCUGAACAGAGAAACCUGUAUAAAGAUGUGAUGCUGGAUAACUGUAAAUACCUUGCGUCUUUGGGAAACUGGACUUAUAAGGCACACGUGAUGUCCUCUUUGAAGCAAGGGAAGGAGCCCUGGAUGAUGGAGAGAGAGGUGACAGGUGAUCCCUGCCCAGGAAUCUGGGAAUGCCUUCAGACAAAGCUUUCACCAUGGAGAAUACCGAACACAUCGUACUUUUGUCCAGCAUUAUGAAUGUGAUGACUGUGGCAUGGCUUUUGGGCAUGUGUCACAACUUACUGGACAUCAGAAAAUCCAUAAGGUAGGGGAAACCCACGAAUAUGGUGAAAAUACAAGGGGCUUUAGGCAUCGCUCAUCAUUUACAAUGCUCCAGAGAAUAUGUACACUAUAUAAACACUUUGAAUGUAACCAAUGUGGUGAAACUUUUAACAGACCUUCAAAGGUUAUUCAACAUCAGAGCAUGCACAGUGGACUGAAGCCAUACAAAUGUGAUGUAUGUCAAAAGGCCUUUAGGUUUCUCUCAUCCCUCUCUAUACAUCAGAGAUUUCAUGUUGGCAACAGAGUAAACCUGACUCGGCAUCAAAAAACUCAUACUCAAAGGAAGCCCUUUUCCUGUAACUUUUGUGGAAAAACCUUUCACCGUUUCUCAGAAAAAACUCAACAUCUAUUAAUUCAUACUAGAAAGAAAUAUUAUACAUGUAAUUAUUGCAAAAAGGAAUUCAAUCCGUACUCCAAAUUUAUUCUACAUCAAAGAACUCAUACAGGAGAGAAACCCCACAAGUGUGAUGUUUGUGAGAAAUCCUUUAAAAGCAUCUCAAAUCUUAAUAAACAUCAGAAAACUCAUACUGGAGAGAAGCCCUUUUCAUGUAAUGAAUGUAAAAAAACCUUUGCCCAGCGCACGGAUCUUGCUCGCCACCAACAAAUCCAUACCGGAAAGAAGUCUUUUAUUUGCAGUAGUUGUAAAAAGACCUUUGUCCGUCUGUCAGAUCUAACACAACAUAAAGGAACUCAUACGGGAGAGAGACCUUACCAAUGUACGACUUGUGAAAAAGCCUUUAAAUAUCGGUCAAACUUUACUAAACAUCAGAAAACUCAUUCUAUAGGGAGGCCCUUUGCAUGUAAUGAAUGUGGAAAGACCUAUCGCCUUAACUGGGAACUUAACCAACAUAAAAAAAUUCAUACUGGAGAGAAACCCUAUGAAUGUGGUGAAUGUGGAAAGCGUUUUAACAAUAAUUCAAAUCUUAAUAAACACAAGAAAAUCCAUACAGGAGAGAAACACUUUGUAUGUAAUCAAUGUGGAAAAGCUUUUAGCUUAAACUCAAAGCUUUCUCGACAUCAGAGAACUCACAAUAAAAAGGAAAACUCCUCUAAAAGCGUCUCAAAUCUUAACAAACAUCAGAAAACUCAUGCUGGAGAGAAGCCCUUUCCAUGUAAUGAAUGUAAGAAAGCCUUUGCCCAGCGCAUGGAUCUUGCUCGCCACCAACAAAUCCAUACUGGAAGGAAACCUUUUAUUUGCAGUAGUUGUAAAAAAACCUUUGUCCGUCUGUCAGAUCUAACACAACAUAAAGGAACUCAUACAGGAGAGAGACCUUACCAAUGUACAACUUGUGAAAAAGCCUUUAAAUAUCAGUCAAACUUUACUAAACAUCAGAAAACCCAUUCUAUAGGGAGGCCCUUUACAUGUAAUGAAUGUGGAAAGACCUUUCGCCUUAACUGGAAACUUAAUCAACAUAAAAAAAUUCAUACUGGAGAGAAACCCUAUGAAUGUGGUGAAUGUGGAAAAUGUUUUAACAAUAAUUCAAAUCUUAGUAAACACAAGAAAAUCCAUACAGGAGAGAAACACUUUGUAUGUAAUCAAUGUGGAAAAGCUUUUAGCUUAAACUCAAAGCUUUCUCGACAUCAGAUAACUCACAAUAAAAAGAAACCCUAA
rnacentral:lncRNA from 1 species